rnacentral:rRNA from 1 species
AGCCGCGGUGAUACGUAGGGUCCGAGCGUUGUCCGGAAUUAUUGGGCGUAAAGGGCUUGUAGGCGGUUUGUCACGUCGGAAGUGAAAACUCAGGGCUUAACCCUGAGCCUGCUUCCGAUACGGGCAAACUAGAGGAAUGCAGGGGAGAAUGGAAUUCCUGGUGGAGCGGUGGAAUGCGCAGAUAUCAGGAGGAACACCAGUGGCGAAGGCGGUUCUCUGGGCAUUUCCUGACGCUGAGAAGCGAAAGCGUGGGGAGCAAACAGGCUUAGAUACCCUGGUAGUCCACGCCGUAAACGGUGGGCACUAGGUGUGGGACUCAUUCCACGAGUUCCGUGCCGUAGCUAACGCAUUAAGUGCCCCGCCUGGGGAGUACGGCCGCAAGGCUAAAACUCAAAGGAAUUGACGGGGGCCCGCACAAGCGGCGGAGCAUGCGGAUUAAUUCGAUGCAACGCGAAGAACCUUACCUGGGUUUGACAUAUGCCGGAAAGCUGCAGAGAUGUAGCCCCCGCAAGGUCGGUAUACAGGAGGUGCAUGGCC